GAAACAUCUUAGUACCCGGAGGAAGAGAAAGAAAAUUCGAUUCCCUUAGUAGCGGCGAGCGAAACGGGAAGAGCCCAAACCAACAAGCUUGCUUGUUGGGGUUGUAGGACACUCUAUACGGAGUUACAAAGGACGACAUUAGACGAAUCAUCUGGAAAGAUGAAUCAAAGAAGGUAAUAAUCCUGUAGUCGAAAAUGUUGUCUCUCUUGAGUGGAUCCUGAGUACGACGGAGCACGUGAAAUUCCGUCGGAAUCUGGGAGGACCAUCUCCUAAGGCUAAAUACUCUCUAGUGACCGAUAGUGAACCAGUACCGUGAGGGAAAGGUGAAAAGCACCCCGGAAGGGGAGUGAAAUAGAACCUGAAACCGUGUGCUUACAAGUAGUCAGAGCCCGUUAAUGGGUGAUGGCGUGCC
rnacentral:rRNA from 1 species